rnacentral:rRNA from 1 species
UGGGGAAUAUUGGACAAUGGGCGAAAGCCUGAUCCAGCAAUGCCGCGUGAGUGAAGAAGGCCUUCGGGUUGUAAAGCUCUUUUACCCGGGAAGAUAAUGACUGUACCGGGAGAAUAAGCCCCGGCUAACUCCGUGCCAGCAGCCGCGGUAAUACGGAGGGGGCUAGCGUUGUUCGGAAUUACUGGGCGUAAAGCGUACGUAGGCGGUUAUCCAAGUCAGAGGUGAAAGCCCGGGGGCUCAACUCCGGAACUGCCUUUGAAACUAGGUAGCUAGAAUCACGGAGAGGUAAGUGGAAUUCCGAGUGUAGAGGUGAAAUUCGUAGAUAUUCGGAAGAACACCAGUGGCGAAGGCGGCUUACUGGACGUGUAUUGACGCUGAGGUACGAAAGCGUGGGGAGCAAACAGGAUU